UGCCAUAAUUACUUGUCUUCUCUCUGCCCAGGAUGAAACCAUGAUAAGAUGCAUGCAGCGGGUUGAAAACGUGAUGUAGGACAAGCAGAGACAAUGGAGAGAAAAAAAGACCUGGAAAAUGAGAGGGCUGGGUGUGAGCGCGUGUUUUCUUCGCAGAAAAAAUAAAGGACAAAGACUUGAAUGAAGGAACUGGACUGGAAUUCUUUCACCACAGAGCACAAGAAUCCACGGACAGCCUCCAAAUCCAUGUCAACAACACCAUUCGCCAACAGCGAGGAAGCAUUACAAAGUUACACAGAGACGUUGGAUUUGUUGGCUUGAGCGGAGUUUUGGACUAAAACAGAAUUUAACGUGACAGCACAUCAUAAGCCUGGCGUUUGGCCUCUACAAGACUCUGCUGGAUAAUCAAAGAGGCAUCGCUAAAACCUGCCUGAUUGAAAAAGACAGAAAGACUGUCAUGUGUUUCUGUCCACUGCUUUACAAAGAUUCAGAGGAGUUUAAAAGCAUCUAAUUGUGGGAGAAUGCUCAAAGGAUGCUUGUAAUGUCAUUCUUUAAUUUUGUUUUUGUUCUGCUAGUUUAGUGAUUACAGGACUCACAGUGAGAUUAAUUAUUCUUCCUAAACCAUUUAAAAAAUGAUGAGUUCUAAGCUUAGACAGGGUGACAAGUAAUUACUUGUGCUGGAUUUGCAAUUAAACUUUGUUUUCAAGAGUGUUAAAUCUUUGCAGUGAUUUUUUUAAAUGGAACAGA